AAAGACCCGCUUAUCUUCAAUCCUGACCGGUUUAGCAAAGACCAAACAAUACCAUACUUUACCUACUUCCCAUUUUCCCUUGGAGGUCAUACCUGUAUUGGGCAGCUAUUUUCACAGAUGGAGGCUAAAGUGGUGAUGGCCAAAUUUCUCCAGAGGUUUGAAUUCCAGCUGGUCCCGCCUCAGAGCUUUAAAAUUAUGGAGACAGCUUCGCUGAAGCCAUUAGAUGGCUUAGUAUGCAGACUGAGACCACGGCGCCACCUUCGCUAUGAAGGGGAUUAAAUAAUCGGCAGUAGGAUAUUGUCAUCUGCAGCUUGAAUUCCUACUGGAACCCGCUUAAAAGUUCCAUUUCCCGGUGGGUUGGAGGAGGAGAGAGCAAAUUUUGGAGUCGGGGCCAUUUUGCAAUCAUAGUU